UGGCUCAGUGGUUAAGAGCACUGGCUGCUCUUCCAGAGAACCUGAGUUCAAAUCUCAG
rnacentral:tRNA from 1 species